rnacentral:rRNA from 1 species
GUGAGGAAUAUUGGUCAAUGGGCGAGAGCCUGAACCAGCCAAGUCGCGUGAAGGAAGAAGGAUCUAUGGUUCGUAAACUUCUUUUGCAGGGGAAUAAAGUGCAGGACGUGUCCUGUUUUGUAUGUACCCUGAGAAUAAGGAUCGGCUAACUCCGUGCCAGCAGCCGCGGUAAUACGGAGGAUCCGAGCGUUAUCCGGAUUCAUUGGGUUUAAAGGGUGCGUAGGCGGACUAUUAAGUCAGUGGUGAAAUCCUGCAGCUUAACUGCAGAACUGCCAUUGAUACUGAUAGCCUUGAGUUUGGUUAAGGUAGGCGGAAUGUGUAAUGUAGCGGUGAAAUGCUUAGAUAUUACACAGAACACCAAUUGCGUAGGCAGCUUACUGAGCCGACACUGACGCUGAGGCACGAAAGCGUGGGGAUCGAACAGGAUUAGAAACCCGGGUAGUCC